rnacentral:rRNA from 1 species
AUAAUAACUUCUCGAAUCGCAUGGCCUUGCGCUGGCGAUGGUUCAUUCAAAUUUCUGCCCUAUCAACUUUCGACGGCUGGGUCUUGGCCAGCCAUGGUGACAACGGGUAACGGAGGGUUAGGGCUCGACCCCGGAGAAGGAGCCUGAGAAACGGCUACUACAUCCAAGGAAGGCAGCAGGCGCGCAAAUUACCCAAUCCCGAUACGGGGAGGUAGUGACAAUAAAUACUGAUACAGGGCUCUUUUGGGUCUUGUAAUUGGAAUGAGUACAAUUUAAAUCCCUUAACGAGGAACAAUUGGAGGGCAAGUCUGGUGCCAGCAGCCGCGGUAAUUCCAGCUCCAAUAGCGUAUAUUAAAGUUGUUGCAGUUAAAAAGCUCGUAGUUGAACCUUGGGCCUGGCUGGCCGGUCCGCCUCACCGCGUGCACUGGUCCGGCCGGGCCUUUCCCUCUGGGGAGCCGCAUGCCCUUCACUGGGUGUGUCGGGGAACCAGGACUUUUACUGUGAAAAAAUUAGAGUGUUCAAAGCAGGCCUAUGCUCGAAUACAUUAGCAUGGAAUAAUAGAAUAGGACGUGUGGUUCUAUUUUGUUGGUUUCUAGGACCGCCGUAAUGAUUAAUAGGGACAGUCGGGGGCAUCAGUAUUCAAUUGUCAGAGGUGAAAUUCUUGGAUUUAUUGAAGACUAACUACUGCGAAAGCAUUUGCCAAGGAUGUUUUCAUUAAUCAGGAACGAAAGUUAGGGGAUCGAAGACGAUCAGAUACCGUCGUAGUCUUAACCAUAAACUAUGCCGACUAGGGAUCGGGCGGUGUUAUUUUUUGACCCGCUCGGCACCUUACACGAAAGUAAA